ACCUUAUAAACUAUUUCAUUGGGUGUAACAUGGAGUUUACGUGAAGAAAUCUCCUUCUGAAGCACAUAUCUUCUAACGGGCAAAUAUAGCAACAUAAGGAUACCGACUCCCCAAGCUAAAACCAGCAACAAUGAUAUGGAAACCCAUAUAACAGUGUCAUACUUCAAAGUAUUUUCUCCAAGUUCCUCGAACGAAGCUGUGUACAAUAUCUGUUCAGAAAUAGAUCCAUCAUCACCAUCAUCAAACUCCGGUUCAGGAUCAGAAAGUAGGUGAUCCCUUGAUGAUCCAGGUUCUGAUAGACCCUCUGCGUGUCCCAUCAACAUUCUCCAACUUCAGAACUGAAACUGAAUACGUGAAAUAUCAAUGCUGAAUCUUCCAAAUAUUCGAUGUCCCAAUUGGAAAAAAAAUUCAGAUGAAGUUAUGGACGUUGAUGUUAGGGUUUUGAUGUGAAUUUUGGGGGUUUUAUGAU
rnacentral:misc_RNA from 1 species